rnacentral:lncRNA from 1 species
CGAAAAAUUUUGAGAGAAGUUGGAAGAUGGGCUCGGAAGGACCGAGUGAGACUAAGCAGGAAUAAAGUCUACCGCUAUCAAACACUACACUAUUAUGCUCUACACUAACCAACUGUAAAAAAUGUCCAAUCUGACCCAAUCCAAUCGGGACUGUAAGCAUACCCGUCCCCGGGACUGUGAAUACACCCGUCCCUGCCCCGUUGCGACUAUCAGGCUCUAUCCACACUAACUGGUCCGUGGAGAGUAAGUCCAACUGGCAUGAGCGACACCAACGCGAAAGCACAAAGCCUGACUCCGGAGUGGCACUCGUGGGCGCUACCCAACCGAGUAUGCAGCGUAUCUCUGUCGAGCUCAAACAGGCUCUGAAAAGCCAAAGUCAAGUAACCGACUCAAACUGGUCUAACCACCAACAGGUAAUAUGCCCUCGGCACAAUCUGACGCCGAAAAGGCGAUACGGGUCCACCGUCAACUCUGACGGCACCCACCAGUCCGGAACAACCUGAACGAUCCUGUAAAAAUCCACUCGGCGCACCAGCACGAGCGUAAAUGUAAUCUAAACUACCUGGAGUACUCGUCUCGAAGAUACUGCGACAAUACAAUUUAAUAACGGCUUCUAGAGCUAAAUCAGGCAGUUUAAGCAUAUGACGAUUCCAAUCGUGUUUUCUCCUAAGUCAAAUCCCAGUCCAACAUGUAUAUUUAAGAUUUACUAGUCAUGUUCUCAAUACUAAUUUUAUCCAGGAUAGCAUCACGAAUAUCAAGCUACAACGUGAUAACCGAAACUGAAAAAUCAUACAUGUCGACGAUUACGGUACUUAGAAAUAAACCGAUGUAAACCCACCUCGACCGCUAAAUCCAAUCCUGCGCGACGUCGAGAACGGCGGAAUCACACCCUCGCCCGGCCUCCUCGCGAUGCUACGGCA